rnacentral:rRNA from 1 species
GACGAACGCUGGCGGCGUGCUUAACACAUGCAAGUCGAACGGAAAGGCCCGGCUUUUGUGGGGUGCUCGAGAGGCGAACGGGUGAGUAACACGUGAGUAACCUGCCCUUGACUUUGGGAUAACUUCAGGAAACUGGGGCGAAUACCGGAUAGGAGCUCCUGCUGCAUGGUGGGGGUUGGAAAGGUUCGGCGGUUGGGGAUGGAAUCGCGGCUUAUAAGCGUGUUGGUGGGGUAGUGGCUUACCCAGGCUUUGACGGGUAGCCGGCCUGAGGGGGUGACCGGCCGCAUUGGGACUGCGAUACUGACCCGACUCCUACGGGUGUCAGCACCGCCAACUAUUCCACCAUCGGCGGAAGCCUCAUCCAGCGCCGCCGCGUGCGGAGUGACGGCCUUCGGGUUCUCAACCGCUUUCGCCUGUGCCGAAGAGUGAGUGACGGUAAUGAGUACAGAAGCACCGGCUACCUACGUG